rnacentral:misc_RNA from 1 species
GAUGAAGAACGUAGCGAAAUGCGAUAAGUAAUGCGAAUUGCAGAAUUCCAGUGAGUCAUCGAAUCUUUGAACGCACAUUGCGCCCUUUGUUAUUCCGAAGGGCAUGCCUGUUCGAGCGUCAUUAUCACCCCUCAAGCCCUCGGCUUGGUGUUGGACGGUUUGGUGGAGGCCCCCUCGGGGGCUCCUGCCCCUCCCAAAGACAAUGACGGCGGCCUCGUUGGACCCCCGGUACACUGAGUUCUUCGCGGGACACGUAUCGGACACAUGGGUUUGCGGGACACGGUCUGCCUCCCCUCAGGGAGAAUCUUUCUAAGGUUGACCUCGGAUCAGGUAGGGAUACCCGCUGAACUUAAGCAUAUCAAUAAGCGGAGGA